ensembl:ncRNA C03E10.8 ncRNA
GCAGUGUAGAUUUACGAGACAGAGAGACGGGGAAAUAGAGGCGAGGUCGAUCGGACUUGGGGCAGCUGCCUCUCUUCCCCUUCUUUCUUCCGCAUUAGAGGACGAUAUGGAUCAAAAAAUUGUCUCUCUUUGUGACAAUGAAG